rnacentral:rRNA from 1 species
CCUACGGGAGGCAGCAGUGAGGAAUAUUGGUCAAUGGGCGAGAGCCUGAACCAGCCAAGUCGCGUGAGGGAGUACUGCCCUAUGGGUUGUAAACCUCUUUUGUCGGGGAGCAAAAGCCGGACGUGUCCGGCUGUGAGAGUACCCGAAGAAAAAGCAUCGGCUAACGCCGUGCCAGCAGCCGCGGUAAUACGGAGGAUGCGAGCGUUAUCCGGAUUUAUUGGGUUUAAAGGGGGCGCAGGCGGAUUUUUAAGUCAGCGGUAAAAUCGUGGGGCUCAACCCCAUCCAGCCGUUGAAGCUGGGGAUCUAGAGUGUGCGAGAGGUAUGCGGAAUGCGUGGUGUAGCGGUGAAAUGCAUAGAUAUCACGCAGAACCCCGAUUGCGAAGGCAGCAUACCGGUGCACAACUGACGCUCAGGCACGAAAGCGUGGGUAUCGAACAGGAUUAGAUACCCCAGUAGUC